CCCCCCCCACUCGGGCCUGUGCACCCCGCACGCGGCCAGGGCACCAGCUCUGGCUUCCACUCGCGGGCAUUUCCCGCUGCACGUUGGAAGUGAAGAUCUCGUUCAUACCAUCCGAGGUUUCUACGUGAAAAUGCCCAGAAGUUAUUUCCUAUUUUUAAUAGAAGUUGUCUCCAGGUGUGAUUGUCAAUCGACUGCACGGAUUUCAAGUGUAACAUCUGGUGGUUUUACGCAGCUGUGCCCGUGAAACGGCCUCCACAGGCAGGGUAGGGGUACAUGCCCUCAGCCCCGGAGCGCUCUUGCAAUCUCUCCCGCCCACAGGUGCCCACAGGUGCCCCAGGUGCCCCGGUCCCGCGCAACUAUGGAGCCAAGGUCUGUCUCCAGAGUUGGCAUUUUCUAGAGAGUUCUAUGGAUGCUGUCAUCAGUGUGUACUCUUUUCUUGUUCUGGCUGCUGGCAGCCGGCCCCAUUCCGAUGAAACCCGUUCACGUUGUGCUCGUGGACAGUCCGGUCCCUUUUCCUGAAUAGUGUCUCUAUGGGACGAGCAUACCCACAGUCUCACCCACUCGGCCGUUGGCGGGCACUUGGCUAUUACAGAUAACUCGUGAUGAACAUUCGUGUGCGAGUCUGUUCAUGGACACCCUCCUUUUGGGCCGCACCCCGAGCGUGGGCCAUGGCCUAUGUUUAAUUUUUAAAGAAGUGGAUGGACUUUUCCAGAGGGGCCGCAUCAUUCUGCGCUUCCACCCGCAGUGGGUUGACCUUAUUUGGGAAAAUUGGGAAAGCUGAUCUUGCUUACAGGGUUCCCAGCAGCCUUACCAGACAACAUGACAGAUCAACAUUAUUCCCUCACGGCCAGAGUUUAAUUGUUCUGGACUCUACUAUAAGAAGAGUGUUUCCUUUCUCAUGAACCAGUCUGGAGAAUAAGUCAGCAUUUCCUGUCAGGAGGCGGUCCCGUAGACAUGGCACAUUAUGUGGAUCUCCGGUAGAAUGGCAUCCCACAGACUCUUCCGAAGGCAACUUUAUUUCCUGAGGCAAUUUUCCAGUUUUAACAGUAGCUAAGGGCUAUGUGACUCUGGUUUGUCAGCUGUACCUGCUGCCAGAAGUGUGUAACACAUGUCAGGGCCGUGGAGACCGAGGCUUCUGACUGCUGAACCGACAGGGCAUCGACGUGGUGAAGACUUCGGCCAUCAGAGAGUAGAGGCUCUCCUGCCGAAUUCUGACCCGCCUACUGGCAGCGGAGGUGGUCCCACCAGCCUUCUUUAUAUAGAGCUCUUUCCCGAUCAGGCUAAUCCUCUCUGGGAUGGGCAAGGACAAGCAUAACAACCCUUAGAGGAUGCAGCAAGAGUGGUUCUAAGUGGAGGGAUUUAUGGCAACACAGGCCCACCCCAAGGAGAGAGGCCUCAAAGAAACAACCUAGCCUCACAUCUAAAGGAACUAAAACAAAAGCUCUAAAAGGAGCUAAACAAAACCCAAACCCAGCAAAGGAAAUAGAAACUAGAGCAGAAAUGACAAACUAAAAAACCCAGUAGAUCAAUGAAACCAGGAGCUGGUUGAGAUGAUCAACAAAAGUGGAUAAACCUCUAGCUAGACUCAAAAACAAACAAAAAAAACCCAAAAAACUCAAAGUCCUUAAUGAAAGAAGAAAAACCACCAGCAAGACAAUUUUAAGAAUGUUACAAAAACCUAUAGGCCAACACAUUGGAAAACUUAAAUGGAUAAAUUCCUAGAAACCUACCAGAACUAAAGCACAGGCAAUAUAGCUUCUGACCUCAGCCAUAGCAACCUUUUUCUAGGUCUGAGACAAGCAAAAUAAACUAUUAGGAAUACAUCAAAAUAAAGUUUUACACAGCAACAGGAUCGGGGAAGGUAUUGGCAAGUGACCUGAUAAAGGGAUAGGAUCUAAGAUAUAUAAGGAACUGAUACAACACCCAAGAAAUCAUCCAGUUAAAAGACAAGCAAAAAUACACGAACAAGAACAGCUGGGUGGCUCAGUGGUUGAGCGUCUGCCUUUGGCUCAUGAUCCCGGGGUUCUGGAAUCGAGUCCUGCAUCAGGCUCCCUGCAAGGAACUUGCUUUUCCCUCUC